GUGUGUGUUGUGUGUGUGGAUUACGCUGAGAUAUCAAACACAAGACCACUCUGCUGGAACGUGCAGAAGAUGUUCACGUAUCUCAUGGAGAGCGAGAGGAAGGCGUACAACCCCCGGCCGUUCUGUAAAACCUACACCAUGCACAACAGCCUCUGAACACCGGGGAGCAAAGGACUGACGGAGUAUCUUCACCGACCUCAUCACCAAGAUGAGGAGAUGUCACAGGAGCGGAAAAACACAGUGAAGACUUUGUUUGGAGGCGUCAUCACCAACAAUGUGGUGUCUCUGGUGAGUUCGAG